AUUACGAAUAUUACGAAUGUGUGUGUGUAAUUUUUAAGUCAUUAAUAUUGCUUAUGUUUUGCAGUAAUAUAAAUGGAAUUUGUUUAUUAAAAUUCUAUCAGGAUCAACGUUGAUCGGUUAAAAAUAGAUUUGAAAUUUUAUGGCUUUGAAUGUGUUGCGAACGCAGCGUUAAAUACGAACGAUGUCAUUCGAUGAAAUUGUGUCAAUUAUUAAUUUGAUUGAAUGGCGUGAUUUAAAUCACAAGUAAAACUGUACUAGAGAAAAAAUUUUUAUAUACAUAUGUACAUACAAAUAUGUAAAUGUAGUUUCUAUGAAAUAUUUUUAUAGAUCUAAGUAGGUCAGGAUAACGAGAAUCAUUACCGAUACAGAACAGAGAAAAAAAUUUCAGAGUGUAGGUGAGUACCAUCUGCCAGAUACGAAACGCCGAAAGGGCAAACGGGAAAAAAAGAAGCAGAAGAGGAACAGAAGAGGAGCCCCCGUGAAAAAGAAAAAAGAAAAAAGAAAAAAGA